rnacentral:tRNA from 1 species
UCCCUGGUGGCUCAGUAGGUAGAGAAUGUGCCUGCAAUGCAGGAGACCUGGGUUCGAUCCCUAGAUUGGGAA